UCACGUUAGUCACCGAGGGCGUUGUUUAUCCAGCAUUAUGGACUAUUACACACCCAGAUUGCGGUUUGUCACAGUAAGGCCAACGCGAUCAUGUCAACCUUACCUCGGCACGCAGUUCGGGGAUGAUCGGUCAAUCUCCCAGGUCGCAAAAAGGUUCAUAGGAACGGGCAUGCCACCGGAGCCCGAGCCCAGGACCACAGCUCCGGCUAGGGCUCCGGCAGGGAGUGUUGUCGGUGCUGGUACACAACCGACACCGCUGUUUGGGCUCAGGAAAGCCGCCCGGGCGCCUCCUCCUCUCUCAACAGCCGCCGCCAUCAUCACCUCCACUGCCGAGGGAGCAGCUUUAGCUAAACGUCGGACGUACGCGGGAGUCUGUGAAGUGUGCGCUGCCUGCCCUGCUUCUCCAGACUCCCGAGUCCUCUCUACAGCCAGUGACCGAGAUGCUGAUAGUCUGGGCGGGGCAUGCCACUACAGGCGGGUGCCAGCGACCCACUGAAAACUGAAGACCCACUGCAUCACAUGCUAAGCUAACAGAACAAAACAUCAACAUCUUAACUUUGUGUGACAGUAUACUGAGGGCCUAUGAAAAAAAAGAGACCACUCACUUCGGCACCCCUGAUUAAGAUGUGGUCAAGUGGUGAACUGUCAAGACUUCAGCUCACCUGAAUUGUGAAGUGAAGUGUUAACAACAUUUCGUCAGUCCGUGACACAGUUACCAAGGUCAGCCAUUGUUCUGAGAAUGCCGGGUGUUGUGAAAGACAGCUGCAGAUGUCUUGACUUGACAUGUUCCUGAAGGGUGCAGUUUGUGACUAAUCACUUCAACCUAUUGACCGACAAGGUGAAAUGGAAAAAAAGCCUGUUGUGUAUUGCGGUCAGUUUGUGAUCUAAUAGCAUGAAAUCUAGCCUGAACACCUUUACUUCAUGCAGACUUAUACGAUAUAUUUGCUUUAUUU